rnacentral:rRNA from 1 species
AGUGAACGCUGGCGGUAGGCCUAACACAUGCAAGUCGAACGGCAGCACAGUAAGAGCUUGCUCUUACGGGUGGCGAGUGGCGGACGGGUUAGGAAUACAUCGGAAUCUACUUUUUCGUGGGGGAUAACGUAGGGAAACUUACGCUAAUACCGCAUACGACCUACGGGUGAAAGCAGGGGAUCUUCGGACCUUGCGCGAUUGAAUGAGCCGAUGUCGGAUUAGCUAGUUGGCGGGGUAAAGGCCCACCAAGGCGACGAUCCGUAGCUGGUCUGAGAGGAUGGACAGCCACACUGGACCUGAGACACGCACCAGAAUCCGACGGGAGGCAGCAGUGGGGAAUAUUGGACAAUGGGCGCAAGACUGAACCAGCCAUACCGCGUGGGUGAAGAAGGCCUUCGGGUUGUAAAGCCCUGUUGGUGGGAUAGAAAAGCAGCAGGUUAAUACCCCGCUGUUAUGACGGUACCCAAAGAAUAAGCACCGGCUAACUUCGU